AGAGUUUGAUCCUGGCUCAGAUUGAACGCUAGCGGGAUGCCUUACACAUGCAAGUCGAACGGCAGCACGGACUUCGGUCUGGUGGCGAGUGGCGAACGGGUGAGUAAUGUAUCGGAACGUGCCUAGUAGCGGGGGAUAACUACGCGAAAGCGUGGCUAAUACCGCAUACGCCCUACGGGGGAAAGCAGGGGAUCGCAAGACCUUGCACUGUUAGAGCGGCCGAUAUCGGAUUAGCUAGUUGGUGGGGUAACGGCUCACCAAGGCGACGAUCCGUAGCUGGUUUGAGAGGACGACCAGCCACACUGGGACUGAGACACGGCCCAGACUCCUACGGGAGGCAGCAGUGGGGAAUUUUGGACAAUGGGGGAAACCCUGAUCCAGCCAUCCCGCGUGUGCGAUGAAGGCCUUCGGGUUGUAAAGCACUUUUGGCAGGAAAGAAACGUCAUGGGCUAAUACCCCGUGAAACUGACGGUACCUGCAGAAUAAGCACCGGCUAACUACGUGCCAGCAGCCGCGGUAAUACGUAGGGUGCAAGCGUUAAUCGGAAUUACUGGGCGUAAAGCG
rnacentral:rRNA from 1 species